AUGGGCGAAAGCCUGACGCAGCGACGCCGCGUGGGGGAUGAAGCUCUUCGGGGUGUAAACCCCUUUCGACCCGGACGAAUCGCCCGCAAGGGAAUUGACGGUACGGGUAGAAGAAGCCCCGGCUAACUACGUGCCAGCAGCCGCGGUAAGACGUAGGGGGCCAGCGUUGCUCGGAAUUACUGGGCGUAAAGGGUCCGUAGGCGGUGCGGCAAGUCGGGGGUGAAAUCUCUGGGCUUAACUCAGAGGCUGCCUCCGAAACUGCCGUGCUCGAGUGCGGGAGAGGCGAGCGGAAUUGCAGGUGUAGCGGUGAAAUGCGUAGAUAUCUGCAGGAACACCCGUGGCGAAGGCGGCUCGCUGGACCGUGACUGACGCUGAGGGACGAAAGCUAGGGGAGCAAACAGGAUUAGAUACCCUGGUAGUCCUAGCCCUAAACGAUCAGGACUUGGGGUGGCUCGCGUCCGCGGGUCGUCCCGGAGCUAACGCGAUAAGUCCUGCGCCUGGGGAGUACGGUCGCAAGACUGAAACUCAAAGGAAUUGACGGGGGCCCGCACAAGCGGUGGAACAUGUGGUUCAAUUCGACGCUACGCGAGGAACCUUACCUGGGCUCGAAAUGCUUCUGACCAGCUGUGGAAACACGGCCUUCCCGCAAGGGACAGGAGUAUAGGCGCUGCAUGGCUGUCGUCAGCUCGUGCCGUGAGGUGUUGGGUUAAGUCCCGCAACGAGCGCAACCCCUGCACGUAGUUACUACCCGCAAGGGAGGACUCUACGUGGACUGCUCCGGAUAACGGAGAGGAAGGUGGGGAUGACGUCAAGUCCGCAUGGCCUUUAUGUCCAGGGCUACACACGUGUUACAAUGCGCGGCACAAACCGUUGCCAACCCGCGAGGGGGAGCUAAUCGGAAAAAACCGCGCUCAGUUCGGAUUGCAGUCUGCAACUCGACUGCAUGAAGCCGGAAUCGCUAGUAAUGGCGUAUCAGAUCGACGCCGUGAAUACGUUCCCGGGCCUUGUACACACCGCCCGUCACAUCACGAAAGU
rnacentral:rRNA from 1 species